CAGCAUUAUAUAAGUGCUGGUGCUGUGCGGCUCCUUGCUUUUCCUUUGUCUUCAGCCUCGGUCAGGUUCAGGGUGCGAUUUUGUUGGGGUCCUUGGCGUGGUGGACACGUGCGGUGCCGUUGUUGCCGGUGAUACCACGUGGGCGGAUUUUGUGAGUUGGCUGCUAGGACCCCAACAUCUAUAAUAAAGAACUGCUCAACCUCUUCGAAUCAGCAUCGGGAUUCUUCCCUCUGGCCGAGCAAAAUUUCUCAUCCCCGGCUGACAUCGUGAUGGAGAUGGUGUCGUGGACCUUGGACAUCUGAACUCGAGAGACUGGAGGUUGAUCUUCCAGGGAAUUUCUGCGAGGCCACGUGUCACGGAGACCA